CCUUCGGUGGCUCAGUGGUUUCAGAGCAAAGAGAAAAGAUAAGCAACGGCAAGCGCCAAGUGUAUCUAUUUCUUCGUCGCUGGUUCGACUCCAGCCCGAAGGU